AUUUAUGCUGCUGCUGGAUCUGUUGAUAGUGAUUGUGUCCUUGCUUGCUGGGUGGAAUUUCAUUAUGGUCAGGGAUUGAAUUGGGUUAACUUAGUAGUCAUUUUGUUUGAUAGUUAAGCUACCUUAAUUUAUGUUUCAAUUUUUUAUUUUCUGAAUUGGUGAUGAUCUGAGUUGCUGCUGUGAAGUUGUUGCUGUUGCUUGUGAUAUUGCUGCUGUAGCUAUGGUUUCUGUGCUGAUGUGUAGUUCAGUAGUAGAAUUGGGUUUUUGAUAUUUAUGCUGCUGCUGGAUCUGUUGAUAGUGAUUGUGUCCUUGCUUGCUGGGUGGAAUUUCAUUAUGGUCAGGGAUUGAAUUGGGUUAACUUAGUAGUCAUUUUGUUUGAUAGUUAAGCUACCUUAAUUUAUGUUUCAAUUUUUUAUUUUCUGAAUUGGUGAUGAUCUGAGUUGCUGCUGUGAAGUUGUUGCUGUUGCUUGUGAUAUUGCUGCUGUAGCUAUGGUUUCUGUGCUGAUGUGUAGUUCAGUAGUAGAAUUGGGUUUUUGAUAUUUAUGCUGCUGCUGGAUCUGUUGAUAGUGAUUGUGUCCUUGCUUGCUGGGUGGAAUUUCAUUAUGGUCAGGGAUUGAAUUGGGUUAACUUAGUAGUCAUUUUGUUUGAUAGUUAAGCUACCUUAAUUUAUGUUUCAAUUUUUUAUUUUCUGAAUUGGUGAUGAUCUGAGUUGCUGCUGUGAAGUUGUUGCUGUUGCUUGUGAUAUUGCUGCUGUAGCUAUGGUUUUUGUGCUGAUGUGUAGUUCAGUAGUAGAAUUGGGUUUCUGAUACUCAUGCCGCUGCUGGAUCUGUUGAUAGUAAUUGUGUCCUUGCUUGCUGGGUGGAACUUCAUUAUGGUCAGGGUUUGAAUUGGUUUAACUUAGAAGUCAAUUUGUUAGAUAGUUAAGCUACCUUAACUUUGUGAAAUUGGUGAUGAUCUGAGUUGCUGCUGUGAAGUUGUGGUUUCUGUUCUGAUGUGCAGUUCAGGAGUAGAAUUGGGCUUUUAAGUCCUCUGGGCUGUGCUGCUAUCCUGUGGAACACUAAAUGAUCUGUUGACUGCCAGUCAGUACUACUGUGAAGACCAGAGGAGAUUCAUGGAGAGGCUGGCAGCUAAUGGUGGAUUUCAAGGUCGACCCAACAAGCCUAGUGGCACCUGUUAUGCCUUUUGGGUUGGAGGAGUUCUGAGGAUCUUAGGGGGCCACAAAUUCAUCGACGAGAAAACAUUACACCAAUUUUUGUUAACUUGCCAGUCCCAAGUACUACUGUUUCUCCUUCUGCUUCCUUAGAUCUAUUAUUCAUUAC